rnacentral:rRNA from 1 species
AGAGUUUGAUCCUGGCUCAGAUUGAACGCUGGCGGCAGGCCUAACACAUGCAAGUCGAGCGGAAACGAUCCUAGCUUGCUAGGAGGCGUCGAGCGGCGGACGGGUGAGUAAUGCAUAGGAAUCUACCCAGUCGUGGGGGAUAACCUGAGGAAACUCAGGCUAAUACCGCAUACGUCCUACGGGAGAAAGCGGGGGCUCUUCGGACCUCGCGCGAUUGGAUGAGCCUAUGUCGGAUUAGCUAGUUGGUAAGGUAACGGCUUACCAAGGCGACGAUCCGUAGCUGGUCUGAGAGGAUGAUCAGCCACACCGGGACUGAGACACGGCCCGGACUCCUACGGGAGGCAGCAGUGGGGAAUAUUGGACAAUGGGCGCAAGCCUGAUCCAGCCAUGCCGCGUGUGUGAAGAAGGCUUUCGGGUUGUAAAGCACUUUCAGUGGGGAAGAAGGCUUGUCGGCCAAUACCCGGCAAGAGCGACAUCACCCACAGAAGAAGCACCGGCUAACUCCGUGCCAGCAGCCGCGGUAAUACGGAGGGUGCAAGCGUUAAUCGGAAUUACUGGGCGUAAAGCGCGCGUAGGCGGCGUGUCACGCCGGGUGUGAAAGCCCCGGGCUCAACCUGGGAACGGCAUCCGGAACGGGCAGGCUAGAGUGCAGGAGAGGAAGGUAGAAUUCCCGGUGUAGCGGUGAAAUGCGUAGAGAUCGGGAGGAAUACCAGUGGCGAAGGCGGCCUUCUGGCCUGACACUGACGCUGAGGUGCGAAAGCGUGGGUAGCAAACAGGAUUAGAUACCCUGGUAGUCCACGCCGUAAACGAUGUCGACUAGCCGUUGGGUCCCUUGAGGACUUAGUGGCGCAGUUAACGCGAUAAGUCGACCGCCUGGGGAGUACGGCCGCAAGGUUAAAACUCAAAUGAAUUGACGGGGGCCCGCACAAGCGGUGGAGCAUGUGGUUUAAUUCGAUGCAACGCGAAGAACCUUACCUACCCUUGACAUCCUGCGAACCCGGAAGAGAUUCCGGGGUGCCUUCGGGAGCGCAGAGACAGGUGCUGCAUGGCUGUCGUCAGCUCGUGUUGUGA